rnacentral:rRNA from 1 species
CCUACGGGAGGCAGCAGUGAGGAAUAUUGGUCAAUGUACGGAAGUCUGAACCAGCCAUGCCGCGUGCAGGAAGACGGCUCUAUGAGUUGUAAACUGCUUUUGUACAAGGGUAAACCUGAAUACGUGUAUUCAGCUGAAAGUAAUGUACGAAUAAGGAUCGGCUAACUCCGUGCCAGCAGCCGCGGUAAUACGGAGGAUACAAGCGUUAUCCGGAUUUAUUGGGUUUAAAGGGUGCGUAGGCGGAUUGAUAAGUUAGAGGUGAAAUGUCCGAGCUUAACUCGGGAACUGCCUCUAAUACGGUGGAUCUAGAGAGUAGAUGCGGUAGGCGGAAUGUAUGGUGUAGCGGUGAAAUGCUUAGAGAUCAUACAGAACACCGAUUGCGAAGGCAGCUUACCAAUCUAUAUCUGACGUUGAGGCACGAAAGCGUGGGGAGCAAACAGGAUUAGAUACCCCGGUAGUC